CUUGCUGUGAACUCCACCUGGCAGAAGGGCAAGAGAUCGAUAGAUCCCGAGAUAGUUUCGAUACCACGGAAAAGGCUGCAUUCGAGAAAUAGAAACACUUACCAAGUUCUCGCUGAAGAUCAUCUAGAUAAAGAGUGAGGCCAAUGAAACAAACAAAGAAAACCAGGAGAAUCACACUCAGAGCCACCAUCCAUGGAUUCACCUUCGGGAAAAAGAAAUCUGAAAAAUAAACCCCACAGGAUUUACAUUAGUUUGGAAGCAGGGACAACACUAUUUUUUUCUCUAUUGCACGUAACUACGCCACUAUCCCCUAGGGAUUUUGCUUCAGACAGUGAUGGUAAUUCUUGCCCACUGCGAUCUCUCCAUAGCACCUUGGGCUCUGGGUACCACCCAGCC